rnacentral:tRNA from 1 species
GGAGAUAUAGCUCAGGGAUAGAGCACCUGCUUAGUAUUCACAAGGUCCUGGGUUCAAUCCCUAGUAUCUCCA